CCUACGGGUGACAGCAGUGAGGAAUAUUGGUCAAUGGGCGCGAGCCUGAACCAGCCAAGUAGCGUGAAGGAUGACUGCCCUACGGGUUGUAAACUUCUUUUAUAAAGGAAUAAAGUGAGGCACGUGUGCCUUUUUGUAUGUACUUUAUGAAUAAGGAUCGGCUAACUCCGUGCCAGCAGCCGCGGUAAUACGGAGGAUCCGAGCGUUAUCCGGAUUUAUUGGGUUUAAAGGGAGCGUAGAUGGGUUGUUAAGUCAGUUGUGAAAGUUUGCGGCUCAACCGUAAAAUUGCAAUUGAUACUGGCAGCAUUGAGUACAGUUGAGGUAGGCGGAAUUCGUGGUGGAGCGGUGAAAGGCUUAGAUAUCACGAAGAACUCCGAUUGCGAAGGCAGACUACUAAACUGCCACUGACAUUGAUGCUCGAAAGUGCGGGGAUCGAACAGGAUUAGAGA
rnacentral:rRNA from 1 species